rnacentral:rRNA from 1 species
GAAAACUCCGGAGAGCGCGUAACGUCAAAGCACAUGGAGCGCCAGCUCGAGGGCGUUCGGCGUUUGUAGGACACGAAAGGGUAGGCGGGUAGAAGGUGGCGGCGGCGGCGGCUGUCCCGCCAGAGGGGAAGGACCUAGGCGGCGGCCUACGAGGAGGCGGCGUGGCGGCGGCGUCGUCGCGUCGCGAGGAGGACCAAUGGGGGGACCGCUUGGUAGGAGGGCGUGCAGCCGGGGCGGGCGGGAAUAUCGCGAUGGUGGAGGUGGAGGAGGGGUGUGGCCGUCGCCGACGCGUGUGGCGUCCAAUGCCUGUCAAGCGAAUGAUGGUGGCGACGCGGGGCUGGCAAGGGCCUGAUGAGAGGCGGGGCGGGGCUGAGCGGCCGGCUGCUACGGGAGCGCGCGGCAGAGCGGCGGCGCGAGGAGCGAAGCGGGUCGGGUCCGAGGGAGGGAGUAGAGGGGAAGUAAGGGGAGGCGGGCGACGUGGACGAGGAGCGUGAGGGGGACGAGCGGAGGGUGGGGUUGGAGUGGUCGGAGGACCAGGGCGAGGAGGACGAGAAGGGGAGGGCUGGAGUGGGGGUAGGGGUUGAGUAGGUUACGAAGCGGUAACGGCGGGUAGAGCGGCACGCGCUUGGGCCUUGACGCGCACGAUAGGAACAUGCUCGAGAAGCAAAGGGUAGAGGAGUAGCCGUAAAGCAGCUCGUCAAGUAGAAGUGUAUGUUCCGGAAGAGCAGCCUGGGGCGGAGGAAGCUGGAGGAGGAGGACACGGAGGGGAGGCGGGUCGACGAGGCGGCCGAGGCGGUCAUGCCGGAUAGGGGUAGGGGUCUUAGGACAUUACGACACGAGAGGGCGGAAGGGGAACUACUUCGUCAACGGAACAAGGCUCUUGAGGGGCUGUUCUUGCAGACGAGGGUGUUAUAUGAGGAGUUCCGCGAGGAAUCACGUCCGGCCGAGUUCCUACGUGCGGUUGUAAAACUACUUUACAGCAGUGGCGGUCUACAACACUGCAUGCCGUGAUACCAGGUACCGAUGACGCUAACACCACUCGACCUCUUACGCCACUUCGACAACCUACUUUACCGUCGUUUCCCCGACCUCAGUUUACGCUGUCACAUAUGUUCACACUAACGUAACGACACGUUAUUUCCCGUCCAAAGUCUACGAAACUCCCACCAUCUCCUGUACUGCUACGUACCCCACCACAACCUACGUCACCACAAAUGUUGACAUUACUCACCUAAAACAUCGUUCCCACUAAACCGUCGACGUUCUUCCAACAAGCUUCUCUACGUCUUCUCUCCCAACCGGCGACUACCCCACUGUAUAUGGCGCGAAUAGUUACCAGAAACAGCCCGACCCCUCAACUUUCUCCGUCUGUCUCAUGAAGUCCUCUACCACCUGUUCCCUAACCUACAACUACACCAGUGUAUAUGUCGUGAGUAACUACCCAUGACGUUUUCUCCCUUGUACCACCUUCGGAAGGCUCAAGUGUUACUUUACCAUGCCUCUUCUCACCGUGGUUUACACCACUGUAUGUGCCGAGACAGACUACCUGACACGUUCGUCCCCCUACACGCACGACGAUUACUCGAUAACGUACUCUACACGUUGUUCCCCAAUCUCGACUUACAAAUGUGUAUGUUGAGGGACUAGUUACCGGACACGUUCAAACCGUUAGACCUCGUCCGGUACUCCUAGUACUGUCUCUACCUUCGUCGGCCUGAAUCUGGUCUACAAAUAUGUAUAUGUUGAGAAUAUCUAUGUGAGACGUUCAGUCCUCUCAAACUGUCCCGAGUGUCGUACAAUGUCCUUUACAAUCUAUUUCCUUAAUUCGGAUCAUAACGCUGAAUGUUACAAGAUUACUUACCAAAAACGUACAGUCCAUCCCAUCUUCCUCCUUCUUUCGACGAGCUCACCUACGACCUCUUCUUGCAGGCGGGUUUACAACAUUGCAUAUUAAGAGAAUACUUCGUCAUGACGUAACUGUUCUUGUACUUUAGAUGGUGACUCUAAAUGUUCCCCUACGUAAGAGUCCUCCACCGAGGUUUACUCUUGUGUAUGUUAUAUAACUAGUUCCCCGUGUCAUUCCGUUCUUUAUACUUUCUCCGUGACAUAAAGGUAGUACUUUACUAUCUCUUCCCUAAAUCUGAGUGUUGUUCGAGAAUAUCACGAGAAUAUUCUAACGACUUAUUUUUCUUCUUUAAAAGACUCCGUUCUCCCAAUAAACUGCUCUACGCUUUCCUCCCAAACUAUCGACUUGGUCUACAAAUGUCAAAAAUAUAACUGUAGUCAAAAUUACUCCUAUUAAACCUCAGCUGGUAAUGUGAAACACUACUUGACCACCUUCGGUCAGUACAUUUUAGAUUUCGACCGUGUUUGAUUCUGAAACGUUUCCUCGUAUGCGUAGUCUUGCACUAAAACCCUACACUAUCGUCGCCAUAGGAUCAAAAAAGUCUUAACUGUUAUACACUCUGCUUUUGUCUGAGUGCUUUUCGUGAUAGGAGAUACGGUAGGAUUUGAUCGUUAACUCUUACUACUAUCAUAGGAAAGAUGCCGGUGGAACUAUAAGGGAACAUUCGACACCUCCAUAUAUACACCCUACGCGUGACUCCACAAAUACGUGAAAACGUUCCUCUUUGCCAAAGAUAGAAGUAGUUAACAGUUCGUUGUUCCUGUCACUAGUCCGUUCGUCACUCACCUAUUUAGACCAUCCCCUCACACGUCCCGAAGUGAGUUAACCAUUCGUUAAAGACGACUACGACGGCACUACCUUUCUACCUGGACCUUUCUCUAUCCUCUUCGGUUCUGUUAUUCAUACGUGUUAACGUAGGUAAUAUCCCACCUUUCCUUCCUCAUUGGAGACAGCCGUAAGUACUUAUUGAGAAACCUUCUAUUGUAACUCUUGAGUAAACUCGAGAAACAAGAUGGGUACUUUAGUUUUCCGUCUACAUCAAGAAACAAAAGUGUGAGCUAAGGAAGUGGUCACAACUACUAUCCUAGGUCGGGACGAAUUGACCCGUGACUGAAACCACAGGUAGCAGACAGUGUAUUGGUGUAUCAGUGUAACCACUAUAUUGUGAUCCCGUGUAGAUCUACACGAGAUCAAUAACGUGUAGAUUCACUGAGUUAGUUCGAUCUUUCUUUUUCUUUUUUCUGCUUUCUUUUUACGAACGUGUUUAGAAUCGCAUUUUAGUUACUGUAUCCUGAAUCUACACGUUAUGAAUCUCGUGUAGAUCUACACGAAAUCGUUUUGACAUAUUGUUUUAUACCCUCCUCUUCCAAGAAACUCUACGAACUUUAGUACAAACAAAUAGACUAUCGUAGACCUGUCUUGUUCUAAGCUGGAACACGACGGUGUUACCAUUAACCCGUUUUAUAUCAACUAUACACGUAACAUUCUUAGUUAAACAACACAUACUUUCAGGAUAAAUAUAAAUCCCGGACAAGCCUCUAAGAGGGCGAGGGGUUCAGGCGAGAUCCUCAACCACCUCGACAUCGAUUUUUACCACCUCACCCCUUUUCCGUCGAGGUAUCUAAGAGUCUAAAGUCCCUCGACCUCCUGACGGCUUGUCGAGGAAUAUAUGAUGAUCGUGUGUACGGGCACGUAACGUUGCCUUCUUUUAUGUAUAUGUUACUACUUACCAGUUUCCCAUUAAAAACCAAUUUUUUAGUUGUUAAGAUAAAGCGACCGAACCUGGUACUAUGUACAUGUUAAAAGUAUCUGUGUUUAAGGAGUUCAAAAACCUGUCAACAGGAGUGUAGAGGAGACGUGGAACGAGAGAAUAAAACUCGAUUUCGCGUUAAGUCUGUGUACUUAUAGUAUGUUAGAUAAGUGUU